rnacentral:hammerhead_ribozyme from 1 species
AUCUAGCUGACGAGUCCCAAACAGGAGGAAACAUGCGUUCUGUAU